rnacentral:rRNA from 1 species
UUUAUCGGAGAGUUUGAUCCUGGCUCAGGACGAACGCUGGCGGCGUGCCUAAUACAUGCAAGUCGAGCGGACAGAUGGGAGCUUGCUCCCUGAUGUUAGCGGCGGACGGGUGAGUAACACGUGGGUAACCUGCCUGUAAGACUGGGAUAACUCCGGGAAACCGGGGCUAAUACCGGAUGGUUGUUUGAACCGCAUGGUUCAAACAUAAAAGGUGGCUUCGGCUACCACUUGCAGAUGGACCCGCGGCGCAUUAGCUAGUUGGUGAGGUAACGGCUCACCAAGGCGACGAUGCGUAGCCGACCUGAGAGGGUGAUCGGCCACACUGGGACUGAGACACGGCCCAGACUCCUACGGGAGGCAGCAGUAGGGAAUCUUCCGCAAUGGACGAAAGUCUGACGGAGCAACGCCGCGUGAGUG